AUUCUCUCCUGCUGCUUAUGAGUAAACUCCCUGGUGCGUUCACAAUUUAUUGUGAUCUAUUUUCCUCUUUCCAAUAAAGAUAAAUUUUACGGCCCCUCUCAAAGCAACCAAUGUGAAAAAAGCCUUCAGAGUGAUAUUAGUGACAAGUAAGGUGCACUGCAUACAGUUGGCACUAAAUAUAUGAUACGUGACCACAAAUUGUUUACUGUCCCACCAUUUUAACACAGGAAAUGCGGAACAAGAACUUACAACGAGGAAGAGGUAGCAAGAAGUGGCCACGAGAAAAGGCAGUUACUGUUAUUUUUCUUCAACUCCUACUUCUGUUAAAUCCACAUAAAACUUGCUUUGCCUAACUAGAACUUUUAGUUUUAGUUAGGAACCAGGGCUGGAGGUCAGCUGAAGACAUAUUAAGACAACCUCUGAGCACUGUCAAGCAUCACAUCCAGAUGAGGCUUUCUUCUCCAGUCUGUUGGUUCCUGGCAAUUUAUGCAACAGUCACCUCAAGCGUGUUGCACCAUUUCACACCUUUGUCUUUCACGGCCCCAUUGGCAUGGGACCUUCUACACAUUGUCGACACGGAAAACCUGUCUUCACCUUUGCAAAAUUCGUCUUGGCAGCAGCAUACAGAUGAGAUAACAGAGGCUCAAUAACUCAGAAAAUUGGACCAGAGUGAAUUUUCGUAUCUGCAUUAAAAUUGACAUUCCUGUUGAUAUGAAACCCGAGACUGGCAAAAUGAACUGCAAUAAGACGGAAGAGUCCUCAUGGGCUGAGCUUGUCUUGACGGGCACCUGCAUUCUUGUGACCCAUGUAUAUCUCUGUCUUAGUAUUUAGCACUCUCUACUAUUCAGUGGUCUUGUACCCACUUUGGAAUAAAAGUUCUUUAAGGGCA